UACAGAGGUCUCAAGCGUUGUUCGGAUUCAUUGGGCGUAAAGGGUGUGUAGGUGGCGCCGUAAGUCGGGUGUGAAAUUUCGGAGCUUAACUCCGAAACUGCAUUCGAUACUGCGGUGCUUGAGGACUGGAGAGGAGACUGGAAUUCAUGGUGUAGCAGUGAAAUGCGUAGAUAUCGAGAGGAACACCAGUGGCGAAGGCGAGUCUCUGGACACUUCCUGACGCUGAGGCACGAAAGCCAGGGGAGCAAACGGG
rnacentral:rRNA from 1 species